AUAUCCAUCUCCAAUAUGGAAGUUAAGGCAAAGGAAUUUAACGAGGUCAUACAGGAACAGUAUUAUCCUUGGUUUGCACAAUACAUGGUCAUGAAAAGGGCAAGCAUUGAACCAAAUUUCCAUGAUCUGUAUCUGAAGUUCUUUGAUAAAGUAAACUCAAAAUCCUUGAACAAGGAAAUACUGAAAGCCACAUAUGAGAAUUGCAAGGUCUUGUUAAGAUCAGACCUUAUCAAAUCUAGUUCCGAGGAGCGCUCCUUGCUAAAAAAACCUAGGCAGUUGGUUGGGAAAGUUCACCAUUGGUAGGAAUCAGGCACUAAGGGCUAUAAGGA